rnacentral:lncRNA from 1 species
AUGUGUGGCUGUCCUCCUUGCCUCGUCAGAACUGUAAGCCUGAGCCAGCUAAAUACCAUGUCUGCUUCUGGCAACACAAGUAACGAGAAGCCCAGCAAACACAGUCUACUACUUGAGAACAGACAUCAACAGAGAGAGGAUGCAUUCAGAAUUCGGGUGUUGCCUUGUGCUAGUUCUGUAUUUAAAUUUCCUUUGGGGAAAAACAAGGACUUCGUCUGAGAUUUUGAUGAUCACAGACAAUGUUAUUAAUAAUAGAUUGGAAAUGAAGAAUGAGAGCCUAUUCAUCAAAGACCAUAUCGAAAGGACAUACCAACUCUGGCUUGUUGGACUGAUUGCUGUAUGAAAGUGAUAGUGUAAUUUGUACAGCAGAUGCCUAACAGUAGCAUCUGAAGAGUCCCUGAAUUACACUGUUCUCAAGAAGAUGUAUGCAUCUUGUCAUCUUUGCAAAUUGUCACAAUAAAAUUUUAGAAUAGAAAUACA